UCAAUGACACUAAUAUUUAAAUCGUGGUUCACAGGAUGCUGCUGGAAACCUGUUCGUUUUCCAGGCCGACUCAUGCUGUUGACCCUAAUGGGUCUACAUGUUAUACUUUUGGCACACUACACCAGUAACCUCGUGUCAUCAUUGUCCGUCGGUCCUCCAUUACCAUCCAUUUCCUCCAUAGAAGAUGUAUUUCAAGAUCCAAAGUUCAAUCUGUUGGUGAAAAAAGGAACUGCCACUGUUGAAUACUUAAAGGAGUCCCUUCACAGUGAUCAGUGGCAAUCACUGCUGUCUAGAGGUGAAGAGGCUAUAGUGGCAACCAACGAAGAAGGAAUGACAAAGGUACUGAAGAAUAACUACGCAUAUAUAUGUCCUCACUCAUACUUGUUCAACGAAUAUGCACAAGACUGCCGGAUACACAUCGUUCCAAAGCCUCAAUUUAGGAAGGAAAACUCCUUUGCCAUGCGAAAAGGGUCACCACUAAUACGAAUUCUAAAUGCAAUAGUUUUUAAGAUGAAGGAGAGUGGCGUGAUGUCACAACUACAGCGAAGAUGGAUGAAACAUCUGACAGAAUGUCAUGUUGAGACUACAAUCAUCAGCAUCACUACUGUGUCCUCCCCAUUUGUCCUGUUACUCAUCACUUUGCUAUGCUCAUUCAUCUUUUGCUCUUUGGAAAUGUUCAUUGCAAAUAGGAAAUAAUUUAUGUAGUUAGUUGUAUAUGUGUAAUAUUUAUCAAUAUUCGAAGUCUUAUUUGUUUAUAUAUGUAUUUACUUAUAUAAGUGUAUCAACUGAAUUCAAAAUCACUGCACAUACGAGAACUUAUUUACAAUUUGUUGUGGGAAUAAAGGAAAUCUAAACACUUUUUCAUUCUUUUGAUAUAUUUUUUUUCACAUCUGUGUUUGGUCAAUGUUUUUUGCAUGUUACUCUCUAUAUAGUCCUCUUGCUCUUUUUUGUUUAUUUACUUAUUUAUUUAUUUAUUUAUCUAUUUAUUUAUUUAUUUUCUUCUCCUCAGGUCAUUCCUUGUGCGAUCCAUCCAUCUCUGCUCUGGCCUUCCACUUAGUUUUCUAUCCAGCAUCGUGUGUCACUCGUUUUCCCAACCACUCUUCUCUCCACACGACUUGGCCACUGUAACUUCCUUUUUUGUCUUCCUUGUUAUCUCCAUCACCUUCAUAGUUCUUCACAUUGUUUGAUUUCUGAUCCUGUCCAUUUGUGUUGCUGCAUGUUAUAACCAAAGUAUUUUCAUCUCAGCUACAUUCAACUUUUCCUAUUGUAUUACAUCACUAAUCACAUUUCCGUUCCAUACAUUACUCUUGGUCUUGCUACCAUCUUAAUCAUUACAUUGAUUCUCCGGUUUUUUAUGUAAUAGGGUACUGGAAAAGAGCACCAAAAAGAGUGAAAAAAAGACUCGCUGGAGUGUCAGUUCCAAAAGUGAAAUCGAAAAUUAGGAGAUAAU